UUUUUUUUCUAUUUUCAGUCUGAAAUUUUUGUCAUGGCUAAGAGCACUGAAAGAAUGUGAUGUUUUAUCCUGUGUUAACAACUAAUCCAGGAUCAUUAUCUUGCUUCAAGUGCCACAUCAAGGCUUUGCCAAGUGCUGGUGCUGUGCAGGACAGGAGAGAAGUGGAGCUGCCCAGAACCUGUCAGCACCUCGCAGGGUGUCACCUUCAGACACAAAAACCCUCUGGGGAUCAAAGCCUGGGUGCAAGAAAUGGAAAAGUAUUUCAGUAAAGGAAUUGCUGCACAUGUCUGCCUAGCCCAGACCCAGCAUGGCACAAGCUGUUCCAAGAAGCUCAGGACAACAAGGGAAGGUGAAAUUCAACAUUCAGAGAAAACUGAUCUGAAAAUAAAUUGAGGGAAGACAGGAAAAAAACAGUGGAAAGAGCAAUAGCUGCCCAGAUUAGGGAUGCUUAAUGAUCUGCUUUAAUUGAUUUCUCUAAUUUUUAUUUAUGUAAAUUAGGAAACAAACAUUAAACUCUUCCUUAGCUCAUUAUUAUCCUUAAGCCAAAUGUAUUUCACAGCUGAACUACAGCAGAAUAUUGCACUUCAGUAAAGCCUGCAGCAACCAUGUAAAAUAGGCAAAACUUGCUGUUAAUAACUACAAAUUUUGACCAUUUAGGAGAGAAUUAAUAACAGACCCUUAAUCAGAAACAUGAUCUGAUCACAUUUAUAUUACUGUAACUAAAAAUAUUUUUGCCCUGAGGAAACGUGCCGAGCCUUCAGUGCUGAACUUAAAACAACCUCUAAACCUACAUAAAUACAUGUUCUACAAUAUUUGUUCUUCACAUCUUAGUGAGUUCCUAUUUGCUGAUCUCUAUUCAAAAAUGUUUCUUACAAACCCAACAGAAAGAAACAAGUAUAGGUUAUGCUCAGAGUGUAACAGACUAUCAAAAGAAUGAUGAAGCCAAAAUCUAACUUAAUUGCUUGCUUAAUUUAAAGUCUGCUGUCUCAAAAGAGGAACUUUCAUGCUGUGGCAGAUUGAAAAAGGUUUAAAUUAUUCAGUUUUUUACAUGACUCUUGCAGUAUUUCCAGGUGCACAUCAGAGGAAAGCUUUCAGUGCUGCAGACAGCUUGCUGGCCUGCUUGACAAUGCAAGAAAACAAAAGGAAGCCAAAACUCCCUGGAAUAAUCCUCCCAUCGUGUUUGCACUGCCACAGACAAGAUCAACAGCAAACAGCAAAACAGCAGAGUGAGAACUCCUGUUUCACAAGCACAAUAUUUAAAAUACUUCAUGUUUCUAUACAUCAACAACAAGCCACAAGUAUCAAACUGCAAAAUGCUUUCUAAUAACAGGAAUUAAAAUUUCAUAGAAUCCCAGAGGUUGGAAAAGACCUCCCAGACCAAUCUGUGAGCAAUCCCCACCUUGUCACCAGCCCAGAAAACUGAGUCCACAUCCAGUUAUUCCUUGGACACCUCCAGAGAUGGAGGCCCCAAAUCUCCCUGGGCAGCCCCUUCCAAUGCCUCACCACCCUUCCUGUGAGGAAAUUCUUCCUGAAUUCCAUCCCUAGGAGAACAUUAAUCCAUCUGGAGUCUCUCAAGUUCAGUUUCAAACCCACUCAUGGCCAAAAAGACAUUUCCCACUGCUACUUUAUGAUCCCCAACUCCCUUCUCUAAAAAUCUCUUUCCAAUCAUGCAACAGAGUUUUCCCUUCUCUCCAUGAACUAACACAUCCCAGCUCGUGGCUGCAAACCUCAGCAGCCUUUCUGAGGUUCUGUUUGCUGGAAUAUUCAGCAGCCAGGUUCAAAUACACCCAUUAGGAAAGACAAACUACUUAGGAUGUGGACAGUCCCCUGCUGAGCGUUUGUGUGGCAAUAAUGCAAUUGCACCUAACCCUCUGUCACACUCAGGGCAUUAAAAACACACCAAAAUUUGAUUUGCUGUCUUUUGCAAAUUCAUCAGGAUCCCACAAAAAUAAGAGGUGAGAAAAAAAAUUAUCUUGCAAAAUGUUUUAGGAUAAUAAACUGAAAUAAUUCUCUUCAACUCCAAAGAGGUCAUUUAAAUGUCUUUAUGUAAUGCUGAAGCUGAACACUACCAGAGAAAUGAGCAUCAAAAUCUGAAAACCAAAAUGAUAACAUACAGGUUAAGCAAGUCCAAUGAAAAAAGGUAUUAGUGGUCCAAAAUCAGAUCAUUCCACUAUAGCACUGCUUCAAUUUUAAUAAAAUCUAUACUAAAUAUUUUCUUUUAAGGGCUUCUCUUACAAAUAAAACCAGGACUGUAUUUUGUGCAAUGCUUUUAAAAUUGCAGUCUUCAAAAUAUGUAAAAACAUAUUUUCUGCAAUACUUAAAACUACCUAACAACUAAGACCUUUUGUUUAAUUAAACAACUCUAAUGCAAAUAUUGAUAGAAUUGCAGUUUUUUAUAACAGAAACAUCAUUUGAGUGUGGUGUGUGACUGUUGUGGGCCUUCCUCUUCCCCUUGGUAUCAGAGGCCACAACUUUGGAAAUAACAGAACCCCCAGCUGUGAAUUCUGCCUGAGAUCAGGUUUGUGUCUGGUGGAAGAGUUUACAGCACUCCUGAAAGCAGAGCAGAAAAGGCUUUUUAUAAUGGAAACAUGAUGGACCAAGAACUCCAGUCAUGUU